rnacentral:lncRNA from 1 species
AUGUCAGUUUAGAGAAAAAGCUCUUCAAAGGCCAAACUAGUUCUCAAGAAGAAAUGAUACCUUCAAGACACGCUCCAAUGGAUAUGUCACUUCCUUGGCUAUCCUACAAGGAGAAAGCAGAAGAAGAAACACCCAGGAAGCAGAUGCAGAGGAACUGCUGCUAGAGUUCCCUGGACUGGUUUCCCAGAUGUAGAAAGUUCCGAAGACCUACAGAGUAACUAUUCAGGAAGACAAAAGUCUGAAUGAGAUCUAUGAUCUUAUAGGCAACACAGAGAUUCAUCAUGAAAGAACGUCAAUAUGUACAAGUAUACAAAGUUUUAGUCUGGAUGCCCAAUUUCUGGUGACUUUGCAGAAUGUGUUGGCGCUGAUUGCUCUGGACUGACCAUACCAGGAAACCACUCAUCUGCUUUCUGACUAUGGAUGUAAUAGACAGAACUCUGGAUAUCUUGGACCAAGAGGUAACCUAGUGCAUGGGAAGGAUGCGCUGAGGAU